rnacentral:rRNA from 1 species
ACUCGCUUACGAGUGGGCGUCCGGCGAAACUGCUCGGCUUGGGACCGGAAGAUCCAAGGGGUACGUCCGGGGUAGGAGUGAAAUCCCGUAAUCCUGGACGGACCACCGAUGGCGAAAGCACCUUGGAAGGACGGAUCCGACAGUGAGGGACGAAAGCUAGGGUCUCGAACCGGAUUAGAUACCCGGGUAGUCCUAGCCGUAAACGAUGCUCGCUAGGUGUGGCGCAGGCUACGAGCCUGCGCUGUGCCGUAGGGAAGCCGUGAAGCGAGCCGCCUGGGAAGUACGUCUGCAAGGAUGAAACUUAAAGGAAUUGGCGGGGGAGCACUACAACCGGAGGAGCCUGCGGUUUAAUUGGACUCAACGCCGGACAUCUCACCAGCUCCGACAGCAGUAAUGACGGUCAGGUUGAUGACCUUACCCGACGCUGCUGAGAGGAGGUGCAUGGCCGCCGUCAGCUCGUACCGUGAGGCGUCCUGUUAAGUCAGGCAACGAGCGAGACCCGCACCUCUAGUUGCCAGCAGCAUCUUGCGAUGGCUGGGUACACUAGGGGGACUGCCGUCGCUAAGACGGAGGAAGGAACGGGCAACGGUAGGUCCGC